GACGAACGCUGGCGGCGUGCCUAAUACAUGCAAGUAGAACGCUGAAGGAGGAGCUUGCUUCUCUGGAUGAGUUGCGAACGGGUGAGUAACGCGUAGGUAACCUGCCUGGUAGCGGGGGAUAACUAUUGGAAACGAUAGCUAAUACCGCAUAAGAGUAGAUGUUGCAUGACAUUUGCUUAAAAGGUGCAAUUGCAUCACUACCAGAUGGACCUGCGUUGUAUUAGCUAGUUGGUGGGGUAACGGCUUACCAAGGCGACGAUACAUAGCCGACCUGAGAGGGGGAUCGGCCAAACUGGGACUGAGACACGGCCCAGACUCCUACGGGAGGCAGCAGUAGGGAAUCUUCGGCAAUGGACGGAAGUCUGACCGAGCAACGCCGCGUGAGGGAAGAAGGGUUUCGGAUCGUAAAGCUCUGUUGUAAGAGAAGAACGAGUGUGAGAGUGGAAAGUUCACACUGUGACGGUAUCUUACCAGAAAGGGACGGCUAACUACGUG
rnacentral:rRNA from 1 species